rnacentral:rRNA from 1 species
ACGAACGCUGGCGGCGUGCUUAACACAUGCAAGUCGAACGGAAAGGCCCUGCUUUUGUGGGGUGCUCGAGUGGCGAACGGGUGAGUAACACGUGAGUAACCUGCCCUUGACUUUGGGAUAACUUCAGGAAACUGGGGCUAAUACCGGAUAGGAGCUCCUGCUGCAUGGUGGGGGUUGGAAAGUUUCGGCGGUUGGGGAUGGACUCGCGGCUUAUCAGCUUGUUGGUGGGGUAGUGGCUUACCAAGGCUUUGACGGGUAGCCGGCCUGAGAGGGUGACCGGCCACAUUGGGACUGAGAUACGGCCCAGACCCCUACGGGAGGCAGCAGUGGGGAAUAUUGCACAAUGGGCGGAAGCCUGAUGCAGCAACGCCGCGUGCGGGAUGACGGCCUUCGGGUUGUAAACCGCUUUCGCCUGUGACGAAGCGUGAGUGACGGUAAUGGGUAAAGAAGCACCGGCUAACUACGU